UCUGAUAGGGAAUACAAAGCAAGCAGGGCAUUUGAUGUCAAACUCACGAUAAGACAUUGACAGGACUGUUUGAACGCGAAAACACAGUGCAAGAUAAUUCUGACACGGGACCACGCCCCACGAAGACCGUCUGCAAGUCCCAACCAGUUAGUGGAACGAGGCCCUAAGAUGAGGUAAGACUUCGUGACGAUGUCGACCAGGAGCUUUCUUGGAUAUCCAUGCAUCCCAGUGACCAAAAUGUUUUGACCACUCACAAAAUAUCAUCUACAUGGCUUCCA
rnacentral:misc_RNA from 1 species